UUAAAGGGCUGCAGUAAUUUGACUGUACAAAGGUAGCAUAAUCAUUAGUCAUUUAAUUGAUGACUUGUAUGAAAGAUUGGAUGAAAUAUAAGCUGUCUCUUUUUUAUAAGUAGAAUUUAAUUUUUUAAUUAAAAAGUUAAAAUAAAUUAAAAAGACGAGAAGACCCUAUAGAGUUUUAUAUUUUUAAUAAUUAAGAUUAUUUAGACACAUUAAAUUAAAAUUAUAAAAAUUAUUUUGUUGGGGUGACAGAAAAAUAAAUAUAACUUUUUUUAAAAAGAAACAUAUAUAAGUGAAAAAUUGAUCCAAUAAUAUUGAUUAUAAGAAAAAAUUACCUUAGGGAUAACAGCGUAAUUUUUUUUUUUAGUUCAUAUAAAAAAAAGAGUUUGCGACCUCGAUGUUGGAUUAAGAUAAAAUUUAAAUGCAGAAG
rnacentral:rRNA from 1 species